rnacentral:rRNA from 1 species
GAGCGGAAAGGCCCUUCGGGGUACUCGAGCGGCGAACGGGUGAGUAACACGUGAGCAACCUGCCCCUAGCUCUGGGAUAGCUCCGGGAAACCGGGAUUAAUACCAGAUACGACCACUUUAGACAUCUGCUGUGGUGGAAAGGAUUCCGGCUAGGGAUGGGCUCGCGGCCUAUCAGCUUGUUGGUGGGGUAACGGCCUACCAAGGCGACGACGGGUAGCCGGCCUGAGAGGGCGACCGGCCACACUGGGACUGAGACACGGCCCAGACUCCUACGGGAGGCAGCAGUGGGGAAUAUUGCGCAAUGGGCGAAAGCCUGACGCAGCGACGCCGCGUGCGGGAUGAAGGCCUUCGGGUUGUAAACCGCUUUCAGCAGGGACGAAGCGAAAGUGACGGUACCUGCAGAGGAAGCGCCGUCUAACUACGUGCCAGCAGCCGCGGUAAU